CACGUAGGGGACAAGCGUUAUCCGGAUUUACUGGGCGUAAAGCGCCCGUAGGCGGCCUGACAAGUUGGACGUGAAAGCUCCUGGCUUAACUGGGAGAGGCCGUUCAAAACUGUCAAGCUAGAGUCUGGAAGAGGAGAGCGGAAUUCCCGGUGUAGUGGUGGAAUGCGUAGAGAUCGGGAGGAACACCAGUGGCGAAAGCGGCUCUCUGGUCCAAAACUGACGCUGAGGGGCGAAAGCGUGGGGAGCGAACGGG
rnacentral:rRNA from 1 species